rnacentral:tRNA from 3 species
CGCGGAGUGGAGCAGUUGGUAGCUCGUCGGGCUCAUAACCCGAAGGUCGUAGGUUCGAGUCCUGCCUCCGCCA